UGAGUAAACCGGGUGAUCGCAGGCAAUUCCGCUUCGGAAACGCCUGAGGAAAGUCCGAGCUCCGCAGGGCAAGGUGCUGGAUAACACCCAGUGGGGGCAACCCUAAGGAAAGUGCCGCAGAAAUGAGGACCGCCUGUUUUUUAACAGGCAAGGGUGGAACGGUGCGGUAAGAGCGCACCAGCAGCUCUGGCGACGGGCUGGCUAGGUAAACCCCACCUGGAGCAAGACCAAAUAGGGAGACGUUAAGGCUGCCCGCCAAGUCUCCGGGUAAGGUCGCUUGAGACGCCUGGCAACAGGCGUCCUAGAUAGAUGAUCACCCACGACAGAACUCGGCUUACAGGUUUGCUCACUGC
rnacentral:RNase_P_RNA from 1 species